GAGUUUGAUCCUGGCUCAGAAUGAACGCUAGCGGCAGGCUUAACACAUGCAAGUCGAGGGGUAACAUGUAAUCUUGCUUCCGCUGACCACCGGACCACGGAUGCAUAACGCGUAUGCUACCUACCUCAUAGUGAAAAAUAGCCCUUGCAAACGAGGAUUAAUGCUCCCUACUAUCACAAAAUUCACAUCUUUCUGUGAUUAAAGAAUUUCCGUAUGAAAUGGGCAUGCGACCCAUUAGCUUGUUGGUGAGGUGACCGCUCACCAAAGCAACUAUGGCUAGGGUGACUGAAAGAUUGACCCCCUUCACUGUGACUGACACACCGAACACACUCCUACGGGAGGCAUGAGUAAUGAAUAUUGAUGAAUGCAAGCCACUCUGACCCAUCCAUGCCGCGUGAAGGAUGACUGCCCUAUGGGUUGUAAACUUCUUUUAUAUGGAAAGAAACUUAUCUACAUGUAAAUAACUGAAUGUACCCUACAAAUAAAGAUCCGCUAACUUCGUGGCAGCAACCGCCGUAAUACCGAAGAUCCCAGCCUUAUCUCGAUUCUUUGGGUUUAAAGGGUCCCUAAGCUGGUCUGUAAGUCAGUAUUGAAAGCCGAUGGCUUAACUGUCGAACUGGCAUUGAUACUGAAUACCUUGAGUACAGAUGAAGUGAGCUAGAUGACUCAUGUAGCGGUGAAAUGCAUAGAUUGACUCAGACUACGAUUGCGAAGCAGCUUACUACAUGUAACUGACACUGAGUGAUANAGCCUGGGUGCGAUCACGAUUAGAUACCCUGGUAGUACACGCAGUAAACGAUCAUCACUGGCUGUUGUGUAUAUAGUGUCAGCGACCAAGUGAAAGUUUUAAGUGAUGCACAUGGGGAGUACGCCGGCAAUGAUGAAACUCAAAGGAAUUGACGAGGACCGGCACAAGCGGUGGAGCAUGUGGUUUAAUUGGGUGAUACCUGAGGAACUUUACCAGGGCUUAAAUGUAGUUGGACCGAGUGAGAAAUAGGCGUUCUCUUGAGAGCAAAUUACAAGGUGCGUCAUGAUCGUGGUCAGCUAGUUCUUUGAGGUAUUAGGUUAAGUCGUGCAACGAGCGCAAUCCUUAUUCAUAGUUUCGAUCGGUUAGGCUGGGGAGUCUAAGAAGAAUACCAGGGCGAAAGGUGAGGAAGGUGGGGAUGUACGUCAAAUCAUCACGAGCAGGACGUCAUGGGCUACACACGGGGUGCAAUAGUAGAGACAGAGGGCAGCCACCGGGUGACAGGGAGAAAAUCCUUAAACUGUAUGUCAGUUAGUAUGGAAGUCGGCAACUUGAAUUCGUGAAGCGGGAAUCGCUAGUAAUCGCGCAUCAGCCAUGACGCGGUGAAUAGGUUUCGCGGCACCUUGUACACUCCCCCCGUCAAACCAUGGAAGCUGGGGGCACAUGAAUUCGGUAACGGUAAGGGAGCCGCCCAGGGUGAAACUGGUAACUAGGGCUAAGUCGUAACAAGGUAACC
rnacentral:rRNA from 1 species